rnacentral:rRNA from 1 species
AUUGAACGCUGGCGGAAUGCUUUACACAUGCAAGUCGAACGGUAGAGGGGGCAACCCCUCGAGAGUGGCGAACGGGUGAGUAAUAUAUCGGAACGUGCCCAGUCGUGGGGGAUAACGUAGCGGAAGUUACGCUAGUACCGCAUACGAUCUAAGGAUGAAAGCGGGGGAUCGCAAGACCUCGCGCGAUUUGAGCGGCCGAUAUCAGAUUAGGUAGGUGGUGGGGUAAAGGCUCACCAAGCCAACGAUCUGUAGCUGGUCUGAGGGGACGACCAGCCACACUGGAACUGAGACACGGUCCAGACUCCUACGGGAGGCAGCAGUGGGGAAUUUUGGACAAUGGACGCAAGUCUGAUCCAGCCAUUCCGCGUGCAGGAUGAAGGCCCUCGGGUUGUAAACUGCUUUUGUACGGAACGAAAAGGUCUCUCUUAAUACGGGGGGCUCAUGACGGUACCGUAAGAAUAAGCACCGGCUAACUACGUGCCAGCCGCCGCUGUAA